rnacentral:rRNA from 1 species
UACGUAGGGUGCAAGCGUUGUCCGGAAUUAUUGGGCGUAAAGAGCUCGUAGGCGGUUUGUCGCGUCUGCCGUGAAAGUCCGGGGCUCAACUCCGGAUCUGCGGUGGGUACGGGCAGACUAGAGUGAUGUAGGGGAGACUGGAAUUCCUGGUGUAGCGGUGAAAUGCGCAGAUAUCAGGAGGAACACCGAUGGCGAAGGCAGAUCUCUGGGCCGUAACUGACGCUGAGGAGCGAAAGCAUGGGGAGCGAACAGG